ACAGCCCAGCGCAUAAUCUCCCGGGCUACCCAGCCUGCGGCGACAUGUUGCGUAAAGGGAAAGGUCGUUUUCAAGCCCUGUACUUUCAUAGCCGAAUUUUUGGCUUGAAUAACCACUGUAUUCUAACGGAUACUCCGGCUCCACAGAGGGUGUCAGACCCGUGAGGCUAUGUGGUGAAAAAUGUACAUGGGUUCGGCUUCUUCCCUGUGAGUCGCGUUGCUUAAUAAUGCAGCGCUAAGCAGGUCGUAAAUUCGACCUAAGGCUAAAUAUAUUCACAGAACCGAUAGUAAACAAGUACCGAAAGGGAAAGUUGAAAAGGACUCUGAAGAGAGAGUUAAAAGACCGUGAAACCGAUUCAGAGUAUAAGGCAAUGGCAUUUCUGAAAGGCUUGGAGCUCACCUUGCCCCGAUUGAUGGUUUCGGCUAAUGGUGGAUGGUACUCUGGAGAAACAGCAAAGUGUGAGUAAGUGGCAUUUGGUUGAUACCACGUCUACGGAAACUUGCGGGUCUCUGACAGUGAGUACAGGGGAAGUGACCAUGAGGCACGGAACCGAGGCUGGGCUUAUGCAAGCGUUUCAUUACACUCCAGAGUCAAGGGCUUAAACACAGCCCACCGCAACUCUUUGCGGGGUCACCAUGAGUUUUGCAUUUUGGAGAGAGAGAGAGAGAGAUAUGACACUUUGCGUGUUUGCACCAUUGCUGGUUACGAUGGCUCUUGUGUGGAUCAGCACGCAUUCGCUCUCUUUUCUCCCUCUCUAUGUGAAGUCAUGCUUGUGGCUAUGAUCCCUGCGAAGGUUGUUUCUCACCUGCCGAAUUCCCGCACAAGGCUCUGUUUUCUCGGGGUGCCAUCUCUCGUGGGGGCCACCUGGUCUAUCCCGGUUCCGGCUGGGAAUUUGGCAGACCGGUGAUUUACUCAGAGCCAUCGCUCACGUCUCGAAACACGGGCCAAGGAGUAUAGCAUAUGCGCAAGUCUAAGGGACUAAAAUCCUGGAGGCGAAGUAAGAGCAAAGGUGUGUGUGUCUUAAUGGCAUGCAGCCUGCUUAGUAACGCAAUUCCUUCUGGGAUGAAUGCGUCAAGCGUGCUUAAACUGGGUUGAUCCUUGGCGACGAUGGCAUAUACGUCGUUGCCUAUACAAGGCGCAAACCCCGGGCUCUCGAAUAAGGGGGAUCCCUUUCGAGUAGCACCGAGUAGCGUGUAUGCUAUUACCCGAAAGAUAGUGAACUAUGCCUGGCGA
rnacentral:rRNA from 1 species